UAGGUAUUCCAUAAUGCAGUGCGGCGAGAGUUCCGUACCCUUUUAGAGUCCGCGAAGCCCCUGGACUUUCGCGGCGCAGAAGACGCUGCACGGCCUUAUGGGAAUUGCAGUGUCCUGAAGGACUAAGGGGCUUGCGGAGGGCUAGGCUAGGCCGGAUGUGAGUCUUUACCUGCAAGCCCAGCGCCGUGCGAGCCGAAGACAGAGGCUGAGAAACAAAGGAAUCCUAGCGGCGGGCCGCCUGGAGAUGACUCGGGCUUCCGCCGCGGGGCAUUCAACCCCACCCCCUACCCUCCAGCCGAUCCAACCACUAGUGAAGUCGAGGAUGGACGUGAGACACCAACGCAAUGAAAGGGGGCUUGGGAAAAGGACUGGAAAGGGAGGGAACAGGAAUAGAAAAAGCUGACGUGGGAACACUACACUCGAGUGAGACUCUGGCUUGGACCUUGGGUUUUGUCGGUGGUUUUGCCCCACUCCCUCACUGGAAGGUGGGAUGCAUGUGAAAAAGAAUGUAAUAAAUUCUACUCUUUUCUGAA